GAUGAACGCUGGCGGCGUGCUUAACACAUGCAAGUCGAACGGAGCGCUUUAUUUGAUUUCCUUCGCGGCUGAUUAUUUUGUAACUGAGUGGCGGAGGGGUGAGUAACGCGUGUGUAACCUGCCUUGUACAGGGCGAUAGCAGUUGGACACGGCUGCUAAUACCGCAUAAGCGCACAGCAUCGCAUGAUGCAGUGUGAAAAAAUCCGGUGGUAUAAGAUGGACUCGCGUUUGAUUAGCUAGUUGGUGAGGUAACGGCCCAACAAGGCGACGAUCCAGAGCCGACGUGAGAGGGUGCCCCGACACAUGGGGACUGACACACGGCCGAAACUUCGACGGGGCGGCGCAGUGGGAAAUAUUGCACUAGGCGAGAAACCCUGAUGGAGCGACGGCGUGGGAGCGGAGAGGUAUUUGGGUAUGUAAUGCUCUAUCAGGAGGGGAGAUAAUGACGGUACCUGACGAAGAAGCACCGGCUAACUCCGUG
rnacentral:rRNA from 1 species